rnacentral:rRNA from 1 species
AUUGAACGCUGGCGGCAGGCUUAACACAUGCAAGUCGAGCGGAGAUGAGGUGCUUGCACCUUAUCUUAGCGGCGGACGGGUGAGUAAUGCUUAGGAACCUGCCUAUUAGUGGGGGACAACAUUCCGAAAGGAAUGCUAAUACCGCAUACGUCCUACGGGAGAAAGCAGGGGAUCUUCGGACCUGGCGCUAAUAGAUGAGCCUAAGUCGGAUUAGCUAGUUGGUUGGGUAAAGGCCUACCAAGGCGACGAUCUGUAGCGGGUCUGAGAGGAUGAUCCGCCACACUGGGACUGAGACACGGCCCAGACUCCUACGGGAGGCAGCAGUGGGGAAUAUUGGACAAUGGGGGGAACCCUGAUCCAGCCAUGCCGCGUGUGUGAAGAAGGCCUUAUGGUUGUAAAGCACUUUAAGCGAGGAGGAGGCUACUGAGACUAAUACUCUUGGAUAGUGGACGUUACUCGCAGAAUAAGCACCGGCUAACUCUGUGCCAGCCGCCGCCGUAA